GGGCGAUUAGCACAGUGGUAGCGCGCUUCAUUCACACUGAAGAGGUCACUGGUUCAAAUCCAGUAUCGCCCA
rnacentral:tRNA from 1 species